CAGUAGCCGCGGUAAUGCGUAGGGUGCAAGCGUUAAUCGGAAUUACUGGGCGUAAAGCGUGCGCAGGCGGUUUGUUAAGACAGAUGUGAAAUCCCCGGGCUCAACCUGGGAACUGCAUUUGUGACUGGCAGGCUAGAGUAUGGCAGAGGGGGGUGGAAUUCCGCGUGUAGCAGUGAAAUGCGUAGAUAUGCGGAGGAACACCGAUGGCAAGGCAGCCCCCUGGGCCAAUACUGACGCUCAUGCACGAAAACGUGGGGAGCAAACAGGAUUAGAUACCCCCGUAGUCCCUGUCUCUUAUACA
rnacentral:rRNA from 1 species